rnacentral:lncRNA from 1 species
CUUGUAAGAGCCCAGCACAGCACAGAUUUACAAAAUGAUACACAAAGACCUCAGAGUUUCCAGUCUUCCAACUACAGCAUUAACUCUAACCCAAGUUUCCAGCCUGGUGUUCUGCCUUGUGGAUUUCAGAUUUGCCAAGCCCCACAAUUACAUAAUGAAAUUCCUUAAAGAAGCGAACUUUUGCUAUUGCACAGACCUGCUGCCUCCAGAGCGCCACGCCACUGAUUGUUUUCCUUGUUUCGUGGAAGGAAGACAAAACUUGUUCCAGCUCAACAAGGCUUCCUAUAUCUUUUGCCCCAUCAGUUUGUAAUUGUCCCCAAAUUCCAAUAUCUAAAACAUAAGAUCAAUAUUUUAUAAAGUGCCAUUUUAGUUAUGCAUUAUUUAGCUUUUCCUAUGAUAAAUUUUCCUACAAAGGUGUCAAAGUUACCCUCUUGGGCCAAGAUACAAGUAAUCUAAUGUAUGACAUUAUUAGAGCAACUAUUGAAGAAAUGGGAAAGAAGCAGAAAGUAUUGAUAUAAUAAAAGAAAAUCUUGUGUUUUCUGAUUUUAAA